rnacentral:rRNA from 1 species
UCGAAGGUAGCAUAAUCAGUAGUCUUUUAAUUGAAGGCUGGAAUGAAUGGUUGGACGAAAUAUUAACUGUUUCAUAAAAAUUUAUAUUAGAAUUUUAUUUUUUAAUUAAAAAGUUAAAAUAUAUGUAAAAGACGAGAAGACCCUAUAAAUCUUUAUAUUUAAAUUAUUAAAAUUUUAUAGAUUUUUUUAAUUUUUAUAAUUAAUAAUAUUUUAUUGGGGUGAUAUUAAAAUUUAAAAAACUUUUAAUUAUUUAUAUCAUUUAUUUAUGAUUAAUUGAUCCAUUAUUAUUGAUUAAAAAAACAAGUUACUUUAGGGAUAACAGCGUAAUUUUUUUGGAGAGUUCUUAUCGAUAAAAAAGAUUGCGACCUCGAUGUUGGAUUAA